rnacentral:rRNA from 1 species
CCUACGGGAGGCAGCAGUGGGGAAUCUUGCGCAAUGGGCGAAAGCCUGACGCAGCAACGCCGCGUGCGGGAAGAAGGCUUUCGGGCUGUAAACCGCUUUCAGCAGGAACGAAAAUGACGGUACCUGCAGAAGAAGGAGCGGCCAACUAUGUGCCAGCAGCCGCGGUGAUACAUAGGCUUCAAGCGUUGUCCGGAUUUAUUGGGCGUAAAGAGUUCGUAGGCGGUCGAGUAAGUCGGGUGUGAAAAUUCUGGGCUCAACCCAGAGACGCCACCCGAUACUGCUUAACUUGAGUUCGAUAGGGGAGUGGGGAAUUCCUAGUGUAGCGGUGAAAUGCGCAGAUAUUAGGAGGAACACCGGUGGCGAAGGCGCCACUCUGGAUCGAUACUGACGCUGAGGAACGAAAGCAUGGGUAGCAAACAGGAUUAGAUACCCUGGUAGUCCAUGCCGUAAACGGUGGGCACUAGGUGUGGGAUUCUAUUAACGAAUUCCGCGCCGUCGCUAACGCAUUAAGUGCCCCGCUGGGGAGUACGGUCGCAAGACUAAAACUCAAAUGAAUUGACGG